UCUUUACUUUGUGUGAUGUUUAUUUGUUUUUAGUCCGCAUAUUAAAGGAAAAGACUACAAGACCCUUCAUGGAACUUGCAUAGCUAAAGCUUGAAAAGGCUAAGCCCCGCAAAGUUGGAUCUACGAUGUUGGUACCGAGAAAGGUAGUUCGGGUGAACGAGAUUGGUGAAUUCAUCUUGCAAGAACCAUGAGGAGGAGUUUAACUGGAGUAAGAGUUCCUUAUGCUUUUGAAUUUCUAGAUGUUAACAUAAAAUCAUCAUUACAUCCCCAUUUCAAGAUUCACUGAUCCGAAGGCUUUAUCCUCAAAAACCUAUGUGGGACCUCCUUUGCAGGUUAAUGGACAUAUGUCUUCCUUGUGGAUGGUGGACUUAGGCGAAGAUCACCACGUCUCUUCCAUUACUUCUCUUUAUCACAUCCUCUGUUUUCGUAAAGACACAUGCAGUCCAAGAACUUCAUAACCUGAGUAAAAUAAAAGUUAGUUCGUUUUUAGUUUGAUAUCUAAGAACCUAACCAGCUGAUUUUUGUUGGGAUGCAGCUUAUGUGUGGGGCACUAGAUGACGUUGGGUCAAGAGCAUAUGCAAGAUUUAUCUUAUGGUAAUAAAAAAAAUGGGAAGCACCCGGACAAUGGAGUAACUCUAUGGGUCUUUGCGUGGAUGGAUCGAUCAAUAAAGUCUACUAUGUUUAUUAGGGAAUGUAACAUCUGUGCGUCUUACAUAUAUUAAAGAUUUUUUUACUCACAGAGACACUUUUUGACUUUAGUAUUACACAAUCAGGCACUUCUUACCUGAAGCACACUUUGUAUAUGUGUUAUGACUAAUAUACCCUAUUCCUAACUAAGCUCAUCAAACUGGGUUAUUUUUUUUUAUCAAAUAAACUGGAUUUUUCUAACACGUGACUUUUUCACUAUCUUUUUCUCAAGAAAGCAAAUUAGAACUCCAAUUUCUUUUUUUCUGAGCAACUUUCCCCACUUUCCCCAAUUUCUCAAACCCUAAUUUCGCUUGAAACACAAACCUCUCAACACUUCGCUUUAAAAGAUAGAUUGUUUCCUCUCACCCUCUUCUGAUCUGAGUUUGGUUUUUUUACCUAAGAAAGAUUCAAUCUUUAGAUUUAAUUGAUAAAAAAUCAGUUUCAAGUUUCAUCCUCCUCUGUUCAAGUUCAAGUCCAAACAAUGGCGAUCUCAUCUACACUUCACUCUCAACCGCCAUUGUUGAACCAGCUCGAGUUUGGAUCGGCCGUGGUGACUGUCCGGAGUCUUAGAGUGAAGCUCGAGCAAUAAUCACUCUGUGUUGCCGUGAUCUCAGACCUUCUCCCUGAUCUCUGGUGAACCGUAAAUCAAUGGCGGCAUUUCUCGGAGCUCGAGAUCACCAUUGACGAACCUUGACUUCAAGUUUGUGAAUUUUCACCUCCACCACAAUUUGCUUGAUUAAAGAUAGCUCGGCUGGUAGGCCUAGCUCGGUUUGUAGGGUCGGAUUUACACUCUCCCUGUUGCGGCUCACCAGAUACAUUCUUGCUUGGGAGACUCCUAACUUCUCUAGCCACUGUGGUUGUAUAAAGUCUGCGGUGAAACUUUAAAUGGAUAGCUUCCGCGAAAGUUGAUUCUUUUAAGAAGAUUGAGAAGGAACGAAUGUGUUGUUCACACAUUAAUGUCCAUGUCCACAUCUCUAGUGUCCACAUUUCUAUCAUCCAUGUUGAUGGCAAAUUCAGUUCAUGCCCACAUUAUCUUGAACAUAAGACAGCUUGAGGUGCAUUGUCUCCUGUGGAUAUAGUUUGAGGGUUGGAAAUGAUAACAUGACUACAGAGACAUAAACUCCGUUUCUCAAUUUUCCUACAAGGCCUCUGUGGUCAAAUAUCUAUGUAGAUAACCAUGCAAAAGUUAUGGCUCUGCUGCUGUGUACCAGGAUGCAGAUGGCUCAAAUGCACAUCAAGACUGCUCGUGAAGUUCCUCAAUAUGAAAGCAAUUCUAGAGAGCUUGAUUUCACUCAAAGCAAAGAUAUAACAAAGGAAAAACCAAUGAAAAAGAAACACAACCUUUUGGACGGAGCGAGAGAGUUCACAUAGAUCUGAGAGGAGCUCAUGGAGAUUUAUUUUUUAUUUCUGUUAAAAAAUCUCGCCUUGACUAUUUUCUGGGUUGCGGAUUUACUGAAUAGCUAAUGAGGAUGUCAAUUAUUCAGCGUAUCAGAUGUUGAAUCUGAGUGGGUAUAUGGUCUAUGUUUGACAUAUUCUUAAAAAAAAUGUUGUUAGAUGUCGAAUUCAU